rnacentral:lncRNA from 1 species
CGGAAGUGGGUCGCUGUUGAGGCGGCGGCGUCUUGCUUGAGGGUAUCUCCUCCGUAGCUUCCGGGGGUACUUCCUCGCCCGAGUGUGUCGGCGGCGGUUCCUGCCGCACCAAACCUCCCGGACUGAAAGAUACUGGAAAUCUACUUGGCUGCAAAUGCUGUGCAAGCCAGAGGAUGAGUAACCAGCGGGUGUGAGAAGUUGACAACGGUCAACGUUCAACUUCCUGCCAACCUCUGAACAGGUCCCUUCCUUCUCCGUAGGGUGGAGUCAAAGAGCACAAUGAGUACUAGAAAGCGUCGUGGUGGCACAGUAAAUUCUAGACAAGCCCAGAAGCGAACUCGGGAAACAGCCUCCACCCCUGAGAUGGCCUUGGAAGCAGAACCCAUAGAACUUGUGGAAAGUGGUA